rnacentral:rRNA from 1 species
GGGGGGGUAGCAAUACUCAACCGGCGAACGGGUGCGUAACACGUGAGCGACCUACCUUUUUGUGGGGGAUAGCCGGCCCAACGGCCGGGUAAUACCGCAUACGCUUGGUUUGGGGCAUCUUGGACCAAGGAAACUUACGAGGCAGGAAGAGGGGCUCGCGGCCUAUCAGCUAGUUGGCGGGGUAAUGGCCCACCAAGGCAGUGACGGGUAGCUGGUCUGAGAGGAUGGCCAGCCACAUUGGGACUGAGAGACGGCCCAGACUCCUACGGGAGGCAGCAGUGGGGAAUCUUGCGCAAUGGCCGAAAGGCUGACGCAGCGACGCCGCGUGGGGGAGGAAGGGCUUCGGCUCGUAAACCCCUGUUGCCCGGGGCGAACAUCCUGUUUCGACGGGACUGACGGUACCGGGUGAGGAAGCACCGGCUAACUCCGUGCCAGCAGCCGCGGUAAUACGGAGGGUGCGAGCGUUGUCCGGAAUCACUGGGCGUAAAGGGCGCGUAGGUGGCCGAGCAAGGUUGCGGUGAAAGCCCGGGGCUCAACCCCGGGUCGGCCGUGGCAACUACUUGGCUUGAGCACUGUAGGGGCGGGUGGAAUUCCGGGUGUAGCGGUGGAAUGCGUAGAGAUCCGGAAGAACACCGGUGGCGAAGGCGGCCCGCUGGGCAGGAAGAGGGCGCAAGCUCUCGGCUGACACUGAGGCGCGACAGCGUGGGGAGCAAACAGGAUUAGAUACCCUGGUAGUCCACGCCGUANACGAUGGGCACUAGAUGCUUGG